AUUGAACGCUGGCGGCAGGCCUAACACAUGCAAGUCGAGCGAGCGGCGGACGGGUGAGUAAUGUAUGGGGACUGCCCGAUAGAGGGGGAUAACUACUGGAAACGGUAGCUAAUACCGCAUACUAUCGGAUAACCCAUAUGGGAUUAGCUAGUAGGUGAGGUAAUGGCUCACCUAGGCGACGAACCCUAGCUGGUCUGAGAGGAGGAUCAGCCACCCUGGGACUGAAACAAGGCCCAGACUCCUACGGAGGCAGCAGUGGGGAAUAUUGCACAAUGGGCGCAAGCCGGACGCAGCCAGGCCACGUGUAUGAAGAAGGCCCUAGGGUUGUAAAGUACUUUCAGUCGGGAGGAGUUACCGACAGAAGAAGCACCGGCUAACUCCGUGCCAGCCGCCGCGGUAAUAC
rnacentral:rRNA from 1 species